CAUCUGUCUCCAGCAGUGAUCCCUGACAGCUGGAGGAAUGUGAGGAGCUGGGCAGGUCGACUGCCUUGCCCCAGGAGCGAGGUGGCGGUUUUCACUCAGAAACCAGCACUGAGAGUAAGAAGUGGGCAUCAGUGUUCUUGAGACAUCUGUCAGUGUCUGCAGCAAGAUCCCAUCUGAUAAAGAAAUAGGUUUAUUCCAUGAACAGAAAAGAAGACAGCACUCCUGAUCCUCCUCUUCAUCACAUACCAGCAAGAUUUCAGGGUGGCAAUCUUUGAAGAGAUUCUGAAACAUCAAAUCAGGAAACGAUGGGAAUAAGCUGAUUUCUUCCUGAGAUAACACUGAGAACAUCGUUGCAUGUCUGAUGGAGAACAGAAAACGAGUGAGAAAGUCUGGACUGUGCUGUCACACAGAGCAGCUGCUCCACCCCACAUCACACGCUGUGCCCUUGCAGAGCCUUCCCCAUCCCCAGCUCAGGGCCUACCCUGCACCCUGUGCUUAGCAAGGGGCCACCAGCUGUGGAGCCGGCUGAUUCACAACAGGUGGCAGAAAACUAGUCUGUCCUAGUAAGAACCUCGCUAGCUGUGAGGUGAGCUUGAAGCAUCUGCUCUGCAGCAGAUGAGAGUGCAAAAGGAGUGAGGAGGAUGUCCCUCUGUGAAGCUUUUCCACAUCUCUGGGGAGGAGAAGGAGCAAAGCAAUGGUGCUGCUGCUGCGUGUGGGAGCGACUGGUCUGCUAAAGAAUUACAGCUUUCCAGUGCCAGCUCAAACACCGAGGAAUCCCUGCCACCAUAAAACUAUAAUUGCUGAAUUAAUAACAGCGGGUUCUGGAGAGUGACUGCAAGACUCUGUGACCCAGGAACAAAUUCUGCAGCUGGUGCCACAUGGCCCCACAGCUAUGAUGCUCCUCAGGACUGGGAUCUUUAUGCUCUUCAAACAGGAUAAUAGCAGAUCACAGGUCACUCAGAAUUGAAUAUCCUCAUCCCAAGGCUGUCAGCCACACCACGUCCUGUCCCUGCUGACUGCCCGGCAACGAUGGCAACACGUCUGCAUGGAUGUGGACAUGGAAGCCCAAUGUGUGUCAUCUCCUCUGAGGCUGCUCGAGUUGCUCUUCAGUGCUUCAAGGGGAAAGAAAGAGCAGAGAAAUAAUAAGGCUUUGUAUGAGUGGUGAGACUCCAGUUUGUACUGUGAUGGCUGUUCACCAUUGGAUCUACUUCUAACAGAUGGGACAGAGAUGCAGGCAGGGUGGAGGGGCUGCAAAGGCAACUGAUGGAGAAGUUUCUUUGGAGCUUGCCAUUCUUUGUGCUUCAUUUAUAUUUCAUUAACCAUGAAAUUGUGUUUAUAAUUGUAUUAGACAGCUGUAUGAGAUAUUAGAUCAUAAGCCCGGCUUGAAUUAAAGCCAUUUUUAAUUAGUUA